rnacentral:rRNA from 1 species
UACGUAGGGUGCAAGCGUUGUCCGGAAUUAUUGGGCGUAAAGAGCUCGUAGGCGGCCUGUUGCGUCCGCUGUGAAAGCCCGGGGCUUAACCCCGGGUCGGCAGUGGAUACGGGCAGGCUAGAGGUAGGUAGGGGAGAAUGGAAUUCCCGGUGUAGCGGUGAAAUGCGCAGAUAUCGGGAGGAACACCAACGGCGAAAGCACUCUGCUGGGCCGACACUGACACUGAGAGACGAAAGCUAGGGGAGCGAAUGGG